GACGUAGGAUGCGAGCGUUAUCCGGAAUUAUUGGGCGUAAAGCGUCUGUAGGUGGUCUGUUAAGUUAGAUGUCAAAGCCUCGAGCUCAACUCGGGACAGGUAUCUAAAACUGGCAGGCUUGAGACAGGUAGAGGUAGAUAGAAUUCUGUAUGUAGGGGUAAUAUCCGUAGAUAUACAGAGGAAUACCAAAAGCGAAGGCAGUCUACUGGACCUGUUCUGACACUAAAGGACGAAAGCGUGGGGAG
rnacentral:rRNA from 1 species